rnacentral:lncRNA from 1 species
GUCAUGUUUAACUGGAGUUAGAAACAUGAUAGUAGAAGAUAUCAUGCUGAACAAAAUUGAGUAUUGAACCAUGAUUUGAUUUCUUUACUUUCAAGGGAAAAUUACACAGGCAAUCUGAUUCAAAAAGUCAGUUGUAUAUGACAAGGAAUGUUCACCAUAUAAGAUCAUGAAACAAUGAAAAUAGGAAUUCAGUCUGGUCAGAAUGGUCAGAAGACUAUCCAGUAUGGUCAUAUUGUCGGUGUUUUGGGAUAGCAAAGGUGUCAUAUUGACAGAUUACUUACAAAAAUGGUCAAUAAUUAGGGCAUACUGCAGAAAUUUGCUACUAAAGUUACAAGACAAUAUCAAGGGAAAAAAAGUAUGGUUUUGUUGUGUUGAAAGAUGUGUUGUUGAUGUGCAGGUCCAUUGUUGCUAGUUUAUAAUGCAUCUGCAUACCAUGCUGCAAAAACAGUUACUUUUGUGCACAAAAAUGAUUAUGAAAUUUUGUCCCAUACCCAUAUUCUUCUGACCUGGCACUUUCAGACUUCAUCCUAUUUCAAAAUAUGUAAAAACAUGUUUAUUUGAUGAUGAUGAUAUCACUACUGCUAUGGAAAGGUGAUUUGUCACCA